rnacentral:rRNA from 1 species
CAGGUCGCCGCGGUAAUACAGAGGGUGCGAGCGUUAAUCGGAUUUACUGGGCGUAAAGCGUGCGUAGGCGGCUUUUUAAGUCGGAUGUGAAAUCCCUGAGCUUAACUUAGGAAUUGCAUUCGAUACUGGGAAGCUAGAGUAUGGGAGAGGAUGGUAGAAUUCCAGGUGUAGCGGUGAAAUGCGUAGAGAUCUGGAGGAAUACCGAUGGCGAAGGCAGCCAUCUGGCCUAAUACUGACGCUGAGGUACGAAGGCAUGGGGAGCAAACAGGAUUAGAUACCCGCGUAGUCCCUGUCUCUUAUU